rnacentral:rRNA from 1 species
GACGAACGCUGGCGGCGUGCUUAACACAUGCAAGUCGAACGGAAAGGCCUCUUUCGGGGGGUACUCGAGUGGCGAACGGGUGAGUAACACGUGAGUAACCUGCCCUUGACUUUGGGAUAACUUCAGGAAACUGGGGCUAAUACCGGAUAGGAGCUCCUGCUGCAUGGUGGGGGUUGGAAAGUUUCGGCGGGUGGGGGUGGACUCGCGGCUUAUCCGCUUGUUGGUGGGGUGGUGGCUUACCAAGGCUUUGACGGGUAGCCGGCCGGGGAGGGUGCCCGGCACAAUGGGACCUGAGAAAGGCCCAGAACCCCACCGGGAGCAGGCGGUGGGGAAUUUGCACCAGUGGUGGAAGCCGUAUGCAGGAACCCCCGGUGCGGGAAUACCGCCCUCCGGGUGUAAACCGCUUUCGCUCAUGACGAAGCUGUGUGUGACGGUAGUGGGUAAAGAAGCACCGGCUAACUACGUG